rnacentral:rRNA from 1 species
AGUGAACGCUGGCGGCGUGCUUAACACAUGCAAGUCGAACGAGAACGGGUUAUAGCUUGCUAUAAUUGUCAGCUAAGUGGCGCACGGGUGAGUAAUGUAUAGGUAAUAUGCCUCUUACUAAGGGAUAACAAAUGGAAACGUUUGCUAAUACCUUAUACUCCUUAUUAACAGAAGUUAAUAAGGUAAAGAUUUAUUGGUAAGAGAUUAGCCUGUAUUGUAUCAGUUAGUUGGUGGGGUAAUGGCUUACCAAGACUAUGACACAUAACUGGUUUGAGAGGAUGAUCAGUCACACUGGAACUGAGUCACGGUCCAGACUCCUACGGGAGGCAGCAGUGGGGAAUAUUGCACAAUGGACGAAAGUCUGAUGCAGCAACGCCGCGUGGAGGAUGACACAUUUCGGUGCGUAAACUCCUUUUAUAUGAGAAGAUAAUGACGGUAUUAUAUGAAUAAGCACCGGCUAACUCCGUGCCAGCCGCCGCCGUAA